rnacentral:rRNA from 1 species
GUUAAACACCUAGCAUUAUUUGACGUUACCUACAGAAGAAGCACCGGCUAACUCCGUGCCAGCAGCCGCGGUAAUACGGAGGGUGCGAGCGUUAAUCGGAAUUACUGGGCGUAAAGCGCAUGCAGGCGGCCUGUUAAGUCAGAUGUGAAAGACCCGGGGCGUUAACCUCGGAAUUGCAUUUGAAACUAGGCAGGCUAGAGUCUUGUAGAGGGGGGUAGGAAUUUCAGGUGUAGCGGUGAAAUGCGUAGAGAUCUGAAGGAAUACCAGUGGCGAAGGCGGCCCCCUCGGACAAAGACUGACGCUCAGAUGCGAAAGCGUGGGGAGCAAACAGGAUUAGAUACCCCUGGUAG